rnacentral:tRNA from 1 species
AAAUGUUUGGUAUAGUGGUAAAAAUAUUCUUUUUACUUAAAAUAAGAGGUUAUGAGUUCGAAUCCCAUAAUUUUCA